UACGGAGGGUGCAAGCGUUAAUCGGAAUUACUGGGCGUAAAGCGCACGCAGGUGGCUAAGUCAGUCGAUUGUGAAAUCCCCGGGCUUAACCUGGGAACUGCACUUGUGACUGCACGGCUGGAGUGCGGCAGAGGGGGAUGGAAUUCCGCGUGUAGCAGUGAAAUGCGUAGAUAUGCGGAGGAACACCGAUGGCGAAGGCAAUCCCCUGGGCCUGCACUGACGCUCAUGCACGAAAGCGUGGGGAGCAAACAGG
rnacentral:rRNA from 1 species